UACAGAGGGGGCAAGCGUUGUUCGGAAUUACUGGGCGUAAAGGGCGCGUAGGCGGCCCGCUAAGUCGAACGUGAAAUCCCCGGGCUCAACCCGGGAACUGCGUCCGAUACUGGUGGGCUCGAAUCCGGGAGAGGGAUGCGGAAUUCCAGGUGUAGCGGUGAAAUGCGUAGAUAUCAGGAAGAACACCCGUGGCGAAGGCGGCUCUCUGGGACGGUACUGACGCUGAGACGCGAAAGCGUGGGGAGCGAACAGG
rnacentral:rRNA from 1 species